GAAAAGUAAGGAAGUUGGUUGGCCAUUAAUUAAAUAGACUCUGAUACUCUAAAAUCAGGAGAAGCAUCUUCCAGAUAGAAGGAAAAAGCAACAAAAGUCACUUUUUCUGGUUGGUCCUCCAGUACAAGAUGGAGAUCCAUAAGUAAAUGUGUUCUAUGCUUGAAUAUCAAAAAGAGGGUCUAUUUUUAAUGGAAGGUAGUGUAACUGUUUAUUUCCUGUGUUUAGUUUCUUUUACCUAGCAUUGUCAUCUUUCGCUAAUCCAAGUUGAACAGUUUGCUUCCUACUCAAGCUUCCAUGUAAGUCUAAAACCCAGGAAUGCAAGGGAUAAGCAUAUUUGUGCCAAAAAUGUAGUUAGACUGUUAUUUUGUAAGUAGUUGAGAUGGAAUAAAUAUAUAUAUGUGGGUAUGUAGAUACAUUUAUUGAUAAAUAAUGAUAUUUAAUCUGUGAAAUAGUGAUACAUAAUCCUCACACUUUGUGAGUGAAAAUCUACAUGGGUACUACAUGCACCUUUCAUAUAUUAUCAAAUGUAAAAUCUCAACAUUGAUCAGAGAUGCUGGUAGUAAUUAGAAACUGGAUCAUUCGGUCUCCCUGUCAGUUCUACUGUACUAUCAUGCCAGAAUAGUCAAAAAGGGUGUAUGGAUUUUAUACCUAGUUCAGAUUCAUAUGCAAUGUCUGGAGACUUAUGUAAGUAUCAGUAGAAGAUGUAAUAAAAUAAACUAAUCUGAUUAAAUACGGCACAUGUAAAAAGUCUGUCCUAGUUAGUGUAUGUAGCAUUAAACUGCCAUUCCAACAGAUGGCAAAGCUUGGUAUUCAGUGCUUGAAAAUAAUCAAUACACGGGCUAUUGGAAAUAAUCAACUUAAUUUAGGAGCAAUAUUGAUAACUAAAAUGUCAUUUGCUAUUUUUAUUUGGGUUUAUUAUAUUUAGUUUUUAAUUUAACUACCAUCUAAUUAGUUUUAACUUAGUUCAAUUGGAAGUAGUAAAACCUUCUUACCUAAUAAGUGACACAUGUCAUAAAGACACAUACAACCUUCUUAUUUCCUCUAGGUCAGUCAUGCAUGAACUAAUGAACUGAAUUUUUGUUUCUCUACGUAUUUUAAGAAAACGAAUGCAAUUUAAUUUGUCCUUUUCCCCCUCUCCAAAUCAAAACACAGAUACCAGCUUUUUUCUUCCCUAGCUGCAUUCUUAACUGUUAAAAUAUCCUAAAGCACUUGAUCACGUUGCAUUUUAAUUUCCAAGUCAUGUGUUGUAUUAGUGAAGUGCACAUGUUCCUGAUUUCAGCUGGAAGUUCUCAGUCUGUUUAGCAGAACACCAGGCUGGCACGAACAAGGUCCUUGCCAGGUCAAAGGCCU